GAUGAACGCUGGCGGCGUGCUUAACACAUGCAAGUCGAACGAAGCACUUUAUUUGAUUUCCUUCGGGACUGAUUAUUUUGUGACUGAGUGGCGGACGGGUGAGUAACGCGUGGGUAACCUGCCUUGUACAGGGGGAUAACAGUUGGAAACGGCUGCUAAUACCGCAUAAGCGCACAGCAUCGCAUGAUGCAGUGUGAAAAACUCCGGUGGUAUAAGAUGGACCCGCGUUGGAUUAGCUAGUUGGUGAGGUAACGGCCCACCAAGGCGACGAUCCAUAGCCGACCUGAGAGGGUGACCGGCCACAUUGGGACUGAGACACGGCCCAAACUCCUACGGGAGGCAGCAGUGGGGAAUAUUGCACAAUGGGCGAAAGCCUGAUGCAGCGACGCCGCGUGAGCGAAGAAGUAUUUCGGUAUGUAAAGCUCUAUCAGCAGGGAAGAUAAUGACGGUA
rnacentral:rRNA from 1 species